rnacentral:rRNA from 1 species
AGAGUUUGAUCCUGGCUCAGAUUGAACGCUGGCGGCAUGCCUUACACAUGCAAGUCGAACGGCAGCACGGAGCUUGCUCUGGUGGCGAGUGGCGAACGGGUGAGUAAUAUAUCGGAACGUACCCUAGAGUGGGGGAUAACGUAGCGAAAGUUACGCUAAUACCGCAUACGAUCUACGGAUGAAAGUGGGGGAUCGCAAGACCUCAUGCUCAUGGAGCGGCCGAUAUCUGAUUAGCUAGUUGGUAGGGUAAAAGCCUACCAAGGCAUCGAUCAGUAGCUGGUCUGAGAGGACGACCAGCCACACUGGAACUGAGACACGGUCCAGACUCCUACGGGAGGCAGCAGUGGGGAAUUUUGGACAAUGGGCGAAAGCCUGAUCCAGCAAUGCCGCGUGAGUGAAGAAGGCCUUCGGGUUGUAAAGCUCUUUUGUCAGGGAAGAAACGGUUGUCUCUAAUACAGAUGGCUAAUGACGGUACCUGAAGAAUAAGCACCGGCUAACUACGUGCCAGCAGCCGCGGUAAUACGUAGGGUGCAAGCGUUAAUCGGAAUUACUGGGCGUAAAGCGUGCGCAGGCGGUUAUGUAAGACAGAUGUGAAAUGCCCGGGCUUAACCUGGGAACUGCAUUUGUGACUGCAUGGCUAGAGUUUGGCAGAGGGGGGUAGAAUUCCACGUGUAGCAGUGAAAUGCGUAGAUAUGUGGAGGAACACCGAUGGCGAAGGCAGCCCCCUGGGUCAAGACUGACGCUCAUGCACGAAAGCGUGGGGAGCAAACAGGAUUAGAUACCCUGGUAGUCCACGCCCUAAACGAUGUCUACUAGUUGUCGGGUCUUAAUUGACUUGGUAACGCAGCUAACGCGUGAAGUAGACCGCCUGGGGAGUACGGUCGCAAGAUUAAAACUCAAAGGAAUUGACGGGGACCCGCACAAGCGGUGGAUGAUGUGGAUUAAUUCGAUGCAACGCGAAAAACCUUACCUACCCUUGACAUGGCUGGAAUCCCUGAGAGAUUGGGGAGUGCUCGAAAGAGAACCAGUACACAGGUGCUGCAUGGCUGUCGUCAGCUCGUG